CAAAGUUAUAAGUAGGAGUGCGGCACAAUGGAUCCCUCAGUGCUUGCUAACAUGGACAAGGAUCAGCUGAAGAAGCAGAUUGAGAACAUGAAGUACCAAGCGUCAAUGGAGAGAUGGCCCCUCUCCAAAAGCAUAGCGGCGAUGCGCGAAUUCAUAGAAGAGAACGAAAAGACGGACCCCUUGAUCCACGCCCCUGACAAGAAGAACAACCCAUGGGCGGAGAAGGGCAAAUGUACCAUAAUGUAAUGGCUUCUUCCCCCCCUCCACUCACCUAGCGCCCAUCUCGCCAAAAAAAAAAAAAAUCAUCAUCGUCUUUAUUUUUUUUUUAUGAGUGAUUUUCCAAACCUCCUUCUCCUCCUCUUUGCUUAAAAACCACCCCCUUUUCAGGGCCAGCAGACUCUCCUUCCUUCCUUCCUUCCUUCCUUCCUUCCUUCCUUCCUUCCUACCGUGUCGCCAUAUCAAACACCUCCACUUUCGGGAGGCAGUUCGGUUGUCUCUUUCUACCUUGUAGUACUAGAGGCCUUUUUGUCGUUCUCUCGCUAAUGGACCGCUGCCCGUCUCGGGCAGUGACCUCCCCCUUCCCUUCCGAUCGGUGCUUCCACGUACCCAGCUAAAAAUGAAAGACGGGGAAGAAGGAGAAGAAGAAGAAUUCGAGGCGACCACCUACACGACGGAGGCGCGGAAGGAGAUUGAAGCGCAAGAGACGAACCAGCCUGAAAGGACACACGGACUACACCGCCUACAUCAACAGCAUCUGGACAGGAAGCCCCAAAAGCUUUCCAACAGUUCUCCAGCAACGUUGCCACUAGUCACCCCGGUACUUUCUUCCAUCUGCGGUGUCCCCAUGUUAGCAUACAUCAGGGAGCCACAUGGGAUGUUAUUCCAGGAGGGGAUAUUCCCGAUGUCCCCACCUUAGCCAAAGACAAAUGAUUCCCGAGGAGAGAGUUUCAGGGUCUUAAAUGAAAGGAUGAAGUUCCCCACAAGCGUAUGAAUGACACAGAAGCAUAAUAAUAAACAUAAUAAAUAUAAAUUGGGUGGGUCUCCAAUCGCAGAUAAAAAGAAUCGCUUUCGGAUUCAUCCUCUCGCCCUUUCCUCUUCUGAACCUUAAAGGCGGACCCAUCUUGUGCUCUUGAACUGAACUCGAUUUUCCCUUCACAAAUCAAUAUUAUUUUUUUUGUACACCUCUAAAAGUGAACUGGUCCCUGAUAUCUCGAUUCCUUUCCAGAAACAAACUAGCUUUUCCCUCUUAAAGUAAAUGGUCCCUUUUCACGCUCUUGGAGGAAACUGAACUGGUUCGCCCCCCCCCCCCCCCACCCCCAAAACCCCCACAAAAUCACCCCGAUUAAGAAAAAUAUAUGGUUAACCAUUUCCGAGAGUGACCUCUGCUUUCCUCCUUUGCAAAGUGAACUUUUAAAACGUGAAUUAAGUAUUUCCAUCUCAAAAGCAACUUCUUGAGCCUUUCCUCACAGUAAACUGGUUUUCCUUCUUGUUAAAAAAAAUAAUAUUAAUUUUUCGUCUAUGAAAAAAAUUGGUUUCCUCUGUUUUCCCUUCUUGUAAAAAAAAUUUUUUUUUAAAUUAAUCUUUCGUCUAUGAAAAUUUUUUGUUCAUCUUAAAACUAAAUUUUCCAUUCUUAAAAGGAACUAGUUUACUUAAAAAUCUAAUUCCCCCGCCCCCCUACCACACCUCAAGUGUUGAGAAAAAAAAAAAGUUCAAAACUCACGUGUCAUAUUCCUAUGCUCUUACUAGUAAGAUACAAAAUACGAUUCAUAUUUUUCUUUAUUCAUUGUUCGAUGUUCUUUUUUUAUAUUUCUUUGUUCAUCAUAGCGAAUAAUUCUUUUUUUCUGUCUCAUCUCUUUCAGUGUUAUAUUUUUUAUGAUAGAUAUUUUUUUUGUGCGUUACCCAAUUGAAAGAAAGGAAAACUUGGUCAAUAAGGCAUUUCUUUAGUAUACUUAAAAAUCAUAUAUUUAAAAAGUAUAUGAAAAAAAUAUUUCAUGAAAACAGAUACCGUGUGAAAAAAGCCAAAAAAAAAAAAUAAUAAUAAAUAAGUAGAAAUGAAAGUACUUCGAAGAGAAAGCCCCCAAAACAUAUACAGAAAGAUCGGAAUUUUUCAAAACAAAUAAAGAAUUCCUUUUUCCGUUUGAGAGACGGAAACUGCGCAUAAUCAGUCGUGUAACGAUAAAAAAUAUCGCUAAAAAUAAUGAUGCAUUGGUAAAAACUAAUCACUUAUGCUUGCAUAAUUGUACAACUUAAAUCUCAAAACCAUUAGAGGAUAAAGAACUGUAUAUACUAGUUUGCAAAAAAAAAAAAAAAAAAAAUUAAA